CCUACGGGCGACAGCAGUGAGGAAUAUUGGUCAAUGGACGAGAGUCUGAACCAGCCAAGUAGCGUGAAGGAUGACUGCCCUAUGGGUUGUAAACUUCUUUUAUAUGGGAAUAAAACAGGGUAUGCAUACCCUCUUGUAUGUACCAUAUGAAUAAGGAUCGGCUAACUCCGUGCCAGCAGCCGCGGUAAUACGGAGGAUCCGAGCGUUAUCCGGAUUUAUUGGGUUUAAAGGGAGCGUAGGUGGAUUGUUAAGUCAGUUGUGAAAGUUUGCGGCUCAACCGUAAAAUUGCAGUUGAAACUGGCAGUCUUGAGUACAGUAGAGGUAGGCGGAAUUCGUGGUGUAGCGGUGAAAUGCUUAGAUAUCACGAAGAACUCCGAUUGCGAAGGCAGCUUACUGGACUGCAACUGACACUGAUGCUCGAAAGUGUGGGUAUCAAACAGGAUUAGAUACCCGAGUAGUC
rnacentral:rRNA from 1 species